rnacentral:rRNA from 1 species
GAGUUUGAUUCCUGGCUCCGGAUGAACUCUGGCGGCGUGCCUAAUACAUGCAAGUCGAGCGAAUGGAUUAAGAGCUUGCUCUUAUGAAGUUAGCGGCGGACGGGUGAGUAACACGUGGGUAACCUGCCCAUAAGACUGGGAUAACUCCGGGAAACCGGGGCUAAUACCGGAUAAUAUUUUGAACUGCAUGGUUCGAAAUUGAAAGGCGGCUUCGGCUGUCACUUAUGGAUGGACCCGCGUCGCAUUAGCUAGUUGGUGAGGUAACGGCUCACCAAGGCAACGAUGCGUAGCCGACCUGAGAGGGUGAUCGGCCACACUGGGACUGAGACACGGCCCAGACUCCUACGGGAGGCAGCAGUAGGGAAUCUUCCGCAAUGGACGAAAGUCUGACGGAGCAACGCCGCGUGAGUGAUGAAGGCUUUCGGGUCGUAAAACUCUGUUGUUAGGGAAGAACAAGUGCUAGUUGAAUAAGCUGGCACCUUGACGGUACCUAACCAGAAAGCCACGGCUAANUACGUGCCAGCAGCCGCGGUAAUACGUAGGUGGCAAGCGUUAUCCGGAAUUAUUGGGCGUAAAGCGCGCGCAGGUGGUUUCUUAAGUCUGAUGUGAAAGCCCACGGCUCAACCGUGGAGGGUCAUUGGAAACUGGGAGACUUGAGUGCAGAAGAGGAAAGUGGAAUUCCAUGUGUAGCGGUGACAUGCGUAGAGAUAUGGAGGCACACCAGUGGCGAAGGCGACUUGAUGGGCUGUAACUGACACUGAGGCGCGAAAGCGUGGGGAGCAAACAGGAUGAGAACCCC